rnacentral:rRNA from 1 species
AAAGGAAUAGACGGGGGCCCGCACAAGCGGUGGAGCAUGUGGUUUAAUUCGACGCAACGCGAAGAACCUUACCAGGAUUUGACAUCCUCUGACGUCGUAAGAGAUUACGAUUUUAGUCUUCGGAUUAACAGAGAGACAGGUGGUGCAUGGUUGUCGUCAGCUCGUGUCGUGAGAUGUUGGGUUAAGUCCCGCAACGAGCGCAACCCUUAUUCUUAGUUGCCAUCAUUAAGUUGGGCACUCUAAGGAGACUGCCGGUGACAAACCGGAGGAAGGUGGGGAUGACGUCAAAUCAUCAUGCCCUUUAUGUCCUGGGCUACACACGUGCUACAAUGGCCUGUACAGAGGGUAGCGAAGCCGCAAGGUGGAGCCAAUCCCAAAAAGCAGGUCUCAGUUCGGAUUGCAGGCUGCAACUCGCCUGCAUGAAGUAGGAAUCGCUAGUAAUCGCGGAUCAGAAUGCCGCGGUGAAUACGUUCCCGGGCCUUGUACACACCGCCCGU